AAACAUUUCCAGAAGUUCACUUACCCUGUGGAGACUCCUUCAGGUUUCCUCUGCCAACUUUGAGUCACAUGUUUACUAAACUGUCCAGGGGCACAGAAUCAGCAUUAAUUCACUAGAAUAAUGGAGUUCUUUUCUCUGGGGUGGACAGGGGUCCAUCCUCCCUGACAGUACAAGGCUACCUAUUUCUGUUGGCAGGGAAGUGAAGUCACCCAACGGUGUUAGAAGAAUCCGGAACCUGACUUCCGUAUGCCAAUCUUUCUCUGCUCACCCCUGACAUUUCAUGGAUAAGCACAGAGAGAUCAAGAGUUCCAGAGGGCGGAGUUGGGCCUCUGGUGUACUCCUUGGCAUUGAGCAUGGUGCUGGGAAGGUGGUUCAGCUCCAGGGGGCAGUUAAGAUCCACCUGCAGGCAGCCAGCGAAGUGUUGGCACUCUUCAUGCCUGCAGGUGCCAACACCCAUAGGUCCGCCUGCAGCUGCGAAUCCCACCUCCUCAGCCAGUCGGUGGUACAAGAGGCCCAGAGUACAGGACAUUUGUUUCCCAGUAAAAUAUCCAUUCCUUCCCCGGCUCCUGUUUGCACAACAGCACUUGCUGAUUGAUUCAUUAAGUUCUGCUUGCUGCUCUCACUUUGGGAAAUAAACUGACAGCUGAAAUUAUAGCAAGAUUUAAGACAAGGAUGACAGACCCAGACGGGAACGAAUUAGGGGAGACUUAAUGCACCCAC
rnacentral:lncRNA from 1 species